UUUCUAUUAAAUCUACUGUCAUACGAGGCAUGUAUUUCAGCUUGGACAUGAUGGUACCUUCACCAAGAUAUAAACUAUUGGAAUUUAAUAUGUGCCAUUACAAAACUAGUGCAAGAAGACUGAGCUUUCUUCCUUGCUUCACAAAUUCUUAAAGACUACCGCUGGGCUGGCAACCAAAUAUCAAAAUGAUUGACCCUUGAAAACCUAAGAGAUCGAUAAAAGUGACAAAAACCUUUUUAUUGCUAUUAUCUACCGGUAUAUAUGUAUACCGAUCCCUUGUUUUCAAUUGCUUAGCUUGUUCUAUACAACUUACCGCCCUGCAAACACCAAAUUAACACCCUUGUGGCUUCUGGCAGCUACCGG
rnacentral:misc_RNA from 1 species